rnacentral:rRNA from 1 species
UACGUAGGGUGCAAGCGUUGUCCGGAUUUAUUGGGCGUAAAGAGCGUGUAGGCGGCCUGAAAGGUCAGCUGUGAAAACUCGAGGCUCAACCUCGAGACGUCGGUUGAAACCAUCUGGCUAGAGUCCGGAAGAGGAGUGUGGAAUUCCCGGUGUAGCGGUGAAAUGCGCAGAUAUCGGGAAGAACACCCGUGGCGAAGGCGGCACUCUGGGACGGUACUGACGCUGAGACGCGAAAGCGUGGGG